rnacentral:rRNA from 1 species
AGCGAACGCUGGCGGCAGGCCUAACACAUGCAAGUCGAACGAAGUCUUCGGACUUAGUGGCGGACGGGUGAGUAACACGUGGGAACGUACCUUUUGGUUCGGAACAACUCAGGGAAACGUGAGCUAAUACCGGAUGAGCCCUUAGGGGGAAAGAUUUAUCGCCGAAAGAGCGGCCCGCGUUAGAGUAGCUAGUUGGUGAGGUAAAGGCUCACCAAGGCUACGAUCUAUAGCUGGUCUGAGAGGAUGAUCAGCCACACUGGGACUGAGACACGGCCCAGACUCCUACGGGAGGCAGCAGUGGGGAAUCUUGUGCAAUGGGCGAAAGCCUGACGCAGCCAUGCCGCGUGAAUGAUGAAGGUCUUAGGAUUGUAAAAUUCUUUUACCAGGGACGAUAAUGACGGUACCUGGAGAAAAAGCCCCGGCUAACUUCGUGCCAGCCGCCGCCGUAAGAC